rnacentral:rRNA from 1 species
CCUACGGGUGGCAGCAGUGGGGGAUAUUGCACAAUGGGGGAAACCCUGAUGCAGCGACGCCGCGUGUGGGAAGACGGUCCUCUGGAUUGUAAACCACUGUCCCCAGGGACGAAGAUGACGGUACCUGGGGCGGCAGCUCCGGCUAACUCCGUGCCAGCAGCCGCGGUAAUACGGAGGAUGCGAGCGUUAUCCGGAUGUAUUGGGUUUAAAGGGUGCGUAGGCGGAAGGUUAAGUCAGCGGUCAACUGUCGGUGCUCAACACCGGCCUGCCGUUGAAACUGGUCUUCUUGAGUGAGCGAGAAGUAGGCGGAAUGCGUGGUGUAGCGGUGAAAUGCAUAGAUAUCACGAAGAACUCCGAUUGCGAAGGCAGCAUACCGGCGCUCAACUGACGCUGAGGCACGAAAGCGUGGGGAUCGAACAGGAUUAGAUACCCUAGUAGUC